rnacentral:rRNA from 1 species
GACGAACGCUGGCGGCGUGCUUAACACAUGCAAGUCGAACGUGAUUUGUGUGGAAAUUCUUUCGGGAAUGGAAAUGAAAUGAAAGUGGCGAACGGGUGAGUAACACGUGAGCAACCUACCUUACACAGGGGGAUAGCCGUUGGAAACGACGAUUAAUACCGCAUGAGACCACAGAAUCGCAUGAUAUAGGGGUCAAAGAUUUAUCGGUGUAAGAAGGGCUCGCGUCUGAUUAGCUAGUUGGAAGGGUAAAGGCCUACCAAGGCGACGAUCAGUAGCCGGUCUGAGAGGAUGAACGGCCACAUUGGAACUGAGACACGGUCCAAACUCCUACGUGAGGCAGCAGUGGGGAAUAUUGCACAAUGGGGGGAACCCUGAUGCAGCGACGCCGCGUGAGCGAAGAAGGUUUUCGAAUCGUAAAGCCCUGUCCUAUGAGAAGAUAAUGACGGUAUCAUAGGAGGAAGCCCCGGCUAAAUACGUG